rnacentral:tRNA from 12 species
GCGCCCGUAGCUCAGCUGGAUAGAGCGCUGCCCUCCGAAGGCAGAGGUCAGGGGUUCGAAUCCCUUCGGGCGCGCCA